rnacentral:lncRNA from 1 species
UCUAGUGCCUGUCCUGCUCCAAGGCUCCUCUGAGCACCGCUCCCUGCAGCCAGCCUGCUCUGGGAUGCUGAUUCCCUUCCUGGGCAGGUUCACACCAAGGCCAGGUCUCCCUGGAUCAGCUGAAGCCCCUUUCCCAGGUGCCCACACCUUGUGGGACAUUCUGUGCAGAGUGAGGAUAACUGUCCUCUGCUCCGACAUUACAACAAAAUGAGCUACCCGUGGACUUGGAAGCCUGGCUCUGGACCCCAGAGCCUCAGUUCAUCUUAAGCGGUGUUCCUUCAUCUUUUUCCCCUGCUGUGUGGCUCCUGGUAGAAAGGCUUCAGCCAAAAAUAAAGCUGAACUUGAGGUGCAGUUUGGGUAGAUGUUAAGAACAGACCUUGGGGUUGAAUCUUAUACCCACCCAUUGCCAUUAGGAGCUCUGUGACCUAGUCCUCAUUUUCUUUUUCCACAACUGAAGGUUUGGAAGAGGACCCGGCUCCUAUCCACUGGCUUGUGAAGAUGAAACAAAAACAAGAAGCUGAACUAACUCUACCAUAAAAACCCCAGAAACAUCGGGUGGGUUGCUAGAAUCAUUCCCUUAACAGUAUUUAAAUUCUUGAACUUAUGAAUUUAAAAAAAACUGAAAUUAUCUCCCAAUUUAAAUCCAUGUUAAUUGUAUAGAAUUUGGGAAUACAGGAAAGAAAAUUAAAAUUCCUCUUAAUUUUAUCAUCGGAUAAGGGAUACUGUUUUCCUAUUCUGCUUUUUUCUAUAAAUGCAUUUCCCCAUUUUACAGAUGAGUUCAUUGUCCCAGGCUGGCCUGAUGCCAGAGUCUUCACCCCAGGCUGGAUCUUUCUAGAUAGGCCUGUGCUCACCCAUGGCAGCCUUUGGGGGAGUGUGAUCUUACUUCUUAAAACCAAUAUGUAAGUAGAAACUAGAGGACCUUUGAGAAGUAGUAGAGAAAGUGCUGCACAGUUCCC